GACGAACGCUGGCGGCGUGCUUAAUACAUGCAAGUCGAACGGAAAGGCCCUGCUUUUGUGGGGUGCUCGAGUGGCGAACGGGUGAGUAACACGUGAGUAACCUACCCUUGACUUUGGGAUAACUUCAGGAAACUGGGGCUAAUACCGGAUAGGAGCUCCUGCUGCAUGGUGGGGGUUGGAAAGUUUCGGCGGUUGGGGAUGGACUCGCGGCUUAUCAGCUUGUUGGUGGGGUAGUGGCUUACCAAGGCUUUGACGGGUAGCCGGCCUGAGAGGGUGACCGGCCACAUUGGGACUGAGAUACGGCCCAGACUCCUACGGGAGGCAGCAGUGGGGAAUAUUGCACAAUGGGCGGAAGCCUGAUGCAGCAACGCCGCGUGCGGGAUGACGGCCUUCGGGUUGUAAACCGCUUUCGCCUGUGACGAAGCGUGAGUGACGGUAAUGGGUAAAGAAGCACCGGCUAACUACGUG
rnacentral:rRNA from 1 species